rnacentral:rRNA from 1 species
UCGGGGGNCCCGNNCAAGCAGCNNANCAUGUNGGUUAAUUCGNCNCNACGNCGAAGANCCUUUACCAAGNCNUGACAUAUACCGGAAAGCAUUAGAGAUAGUGCCCCCCUUGUGGUCGGUAUACAGGUGGUGCAUGGCUGUCGUCAGCUCGUGUCGUGAGAUGUUGGGUUAAGUCCCGCAACGAGCGCAACCCNUGUCCUGUGUUGCCAGCAUGCCCUUNGGGGUGAUGGGGACUCACAGGAGACCGCCGGGGUCAACUCGGAGGAAGGUGGGGACGACGUCAAGUCAUCAUGCCCCUUAUGUCUUGGGCUGCACACGUGCUACAAUGGCCGGUACAAAGAGCUGCGAUGCCGCGAGGCGGAGCGAAUCUCAAAAAGCCGGUCUCAGUUCGGAUUGGGGUCUGCAACUCGACCCCAUGAAGUCGGAGUUGCUAGUAAUCGCAGAUCAGCAUUGCUGCGGUGAAUACGUUCCCGGGCCUUGUACACACCGCCCGUCACGUCACGAAAGUCGGUAACACCCGAAGCCGGUGGCCCAACCCCUUGUGGGAGGGGAGCUGUCGAA